UACAUGUUUAGCCUGAGAAAGGUACAAGACUAAGUUCUAGUGUGUAAACUGGACUUGAAUAUUUUUGUUACUGGAGUGAAUGCUGGGGUGAGUUCAGCAGUGCACAUGCGCAGUACAGAAGUGCGGGAAGCUUCCAGAAACCCUGUGGACUUACACAUUGGAAAAAGCUAAUCUUCUCUAAAGACUAAUGAUGUUGUUGCCAUGAGGACUGCUGUCCUGCGAUGUCUCUCGGUUUUCCUCGGAGGUGAUGAAAGAGACUUCUACAAUGCCUCUUUUGAUUCAGAUGCCAUGGCAGACUUCACCCAGGUUCCUGUGGGAUUAUUGCCUGUUUUUCCUGAAGUCAGUCAGCAACCAGGUCCGAAUGCUCUUCACCUUGAACCAUCCAGCAUGUUAUCAUUCUGGAAGGUACAAUUGUCAUGGUUGACACUGAUCAUGCUGUUUGCCUCAUAUUUGGACUGACCUGUGCCCUCCAUCCUGACUGUUCAAAAUGCCUAAAAAACACCUUUGACUUCAUUCAGAGGCUGAUGCUCAGUCUGGUUUCUUUUUUU